rnacentral:rRNA from 1 species
UACGUAGGGUGCGAGCGUUAAUCGGAAUUACUGGGCGUAAAGCGCGCGUAGGUGGUUUGUUAAGUUGGAUGUGAAAGCCCCGGGCUCAACCUGGGAACUGCAUUCAAAACUGACAAGCUAGAGUAUGGUAGAGGGUGGUGGAAUUUCCUGUGUAGCGGUGAAAUGCGUAGAUAUAGGAAGGAACACCAGUGGCGAAGGCGGCCACCUGGACUGAUACUGACACUGAGGUGCGAAAGCGUGGGGAGCAAACAGG